ACAGCAGUCGCCGCGGUAAUACGAACCGUCCGAACGUUAUUCGGAAUUACUGGGCUUAAAGCGCGUGUAGGCGGGUCGGCACGUCGGACGCUGAAAUCCCCCGGCUUAACCGGGGAAGUGGCGCCGAUACGGCCGGCCUGGAGGGGGGUAGGGGGGCCUGGAACUUCCGGUGGAGCGGUGAAAUGCGCUGAGAUCGGAAGGAACGCCCGUGGCGAAAGCGAGGCCCUGGACCUUUUCUGACGCUGAGACGCGAAAGCCAGGGGAGCGAACGGGAUUAGAUACCCGAGUAGUCCCUGUCUCUUAUA
rnacentral:rRNA from 1 species